CGGUACAGAUCCAGCUUGCUGGAUGCUGACGAGCGGCGGACGGGUGAGUAAUGCAUAGGAAUCUGCCCGAUAGUGGGGGAUAACCUGGGGAAACCCAGGCUAAUACCGCAUACGUCCUACGGGAGAAAGGGGGCUCCGGCUCCCGCUAUGGGAUGAGCCUAUGUCGGAUUAGCUAGUUGGUGAGGUAACGGCUCACCAAGGCCACGAUCCGUAGCUGGUCUGAGAGGAUGAUCAGCCACAUCGGGACUGAGACACGGCCCGAACUCCUACGGGAGGCAGCAGUGGGGAAUAUUGGACAAUGGGGGAAACCCUGAUCCAGCCAUGCCGCGUGUGUGAAGAAGGCCCUCGGGUUGUAAAGCACUUUCAGCGAGGAAGAACGCCUAGCGGUUAAUACCCGCUAGGAAAGACAUCACUCGCAGAAGAAGCACCGGCUAACUCCGUGCCAGCAGCCGCGGUAAUACGGAGGGUGCAAGCGUUAAUCGGAAUUACUGGGCGUAAAGCGCGCGUAGGUGGCUUGAUAAGCCGGUUGUGAAAGCCCCGGGCUCAACCUGGGAACGGCAUCCGGAACUGUCAAGCUAGAGUGCAGGAGAGGAAGGUAGAAUUCCCGGUGUAGCGGUGAAAUGCGUAGAGAUCGGGAGGAAUACCAGUGGCGAAAGGCGGCCUUCUGGGACUGACACUGACACUGAGGUGCGAAAGCGUGGGUAGCAAACA
rnacentral:rRNA from 1 species